rnacentral:rRNA from 1 species
GGAGUAUGGGCCGUGUCUCAGUCCCAUUGUGGUUGAUCAUCCUCUCAAACCAGCUACUGAUCGUCGCCUUGGUGGUCCAUUACACCCCCAACUAGCUAAUCAGAUGCAGACUCAUCCUGAAGCGAUAAAUCUUUCACGAAUAGUAUUGCAACUACGCGCAUAUGGGGUAUUAGCAGAAGUUUCCCUCUGUUGUCCCCCGCUUCAGGGCAGAUUCUCUACACAUUACUCACCCGUCCGCCACUUUCCUCUUGUGCAAGCACAAGAUUCUCGUUCGACUUGCAUGUAUUAGGCCUGCCGCCAGCGUUCAAUCUGAGCCUGGAUCAAACUCU